CCUACGGGCGGCAGCAGUGAGGAAUAUUGGUCAAUGGGCGCGAGUCUGAACCAGCCAAGUCGCGUGAGGGAUGAAUGUCCUAUGGUUUGUAAACUUCUUUUAUAAAGUGAUAAAGUGAGGCACGUGUGCCUUUUUGCAUGUACUUUAUGAAUAAGGAUCGGCUAACUCCGUGCCCGCAGCCGCGGUAAUACGGAGGAUCCGAGCGUUAUCCGGCUUUAUUGGGUUUAAAGGGUGCGUAGUUGGGUUGUUAAGUCAGCGGUGAAAGUCUGUGGCUCAACCGUAGAAUUGCCGUUGAAACUGGCAGUCUUGAGUAGAGUUGAGGCAGGCGGAAGUCGUGGUGUAGCGGUGAAAUGCAUAGAUAUCACGCAGAACCCCGAUUGCGAAGGCAGCCUGCUAAGCCCUGACUGACACUGAUGCACGAAAGCGUGGGUAUCGAACAGGAUUAGAUACCCCAGUAGUC
rnacentral:rRNA from 1 species